rnacentral:tRNA from 1 species
UCUUAUAUUCAAUAAUGAUUUUAAAUUGCAAAUUUAAAGGUGAAUUUCAAUUCUAAGGCUU